UACUUCCCGUGUGGUGUCCGUUGCUAGUCUAGAGAGUAGUUUGACUCCGUGCUGAGACACGCUGGCGGCGUGCUUAACACAUGCAAGUCGAACGGAAAGGCCCUGCUUUUGUGGGGUGCUCGAGUGGCGAACGGGUGAGUAACACGUGAGUAACCUGCCCUUGACUUUGGGAUAACUUCAGGAAACUGGGGCUAAUACCGGAUAGGAGCUCCUGCUGCAUGGUGGGGGUUGGAAAGUUUCGGCGGUUGGGGAUGGACUCGCGGCUUAUCAGCUUGUUGGUGGGGUAGUGGCUUACCAAGGCUUUGACGGGUAGCCGGCCUGAGAGGGUGACCGGCCACAUUGGGACUGAGAUACGGCCCAGACUCCUACGGGAGGCAGCAGUGGGGAAUAUUGCACAAUGGGCGGAAGCCUGAUGCAGCAACGCCGCGUGCGGGAUGACGGCCUUCGGGUUGUAAACCGCUUUCGCCUGUGACGAAGCGUGAGUGACGGUAAUGGGUAAGGAAGCACCGGCUAACUACGUG
rnacentral:rRNA from 1 species